AUCUAGUUGACAAGUCCCGAAUAGGACGACACGCUCGUUCUGGAU
rnacentral:hammerhead_ribozyme from 1 species